GACGAACGCUGGCGGCGUGCUUAACACAUGCAAGUCGUACGGUAAGGCCCUUCCGGGGGUACAUGAGCGGCGAACGGGUGAGUAACACGCGAGUAACCUGCCCACAACUUUGGGAUAACGCUAGGAAACUGGCGCUAAUACUGGACAUGUGCUCCUGCUGCAUGGUGGGGGUUGGUAAGCUCCGGCGGUUGGGGAUGGACUCGCGGCCUAUCAGCUUGCUGGUGGGGUAGUGGCCUACUAAGGCGGCGACGGGUAGCCGGCCUGGGAGGGUGACCGGCCACAUUGGGGCUGAGAUACGGCCCAGACUCCUACGGGGAGCAGGAGGGGGGAAUAUUGCACAAUGGGCGCAAGCCUGAUGCAGCAACGGCGCGUGCGGGAAGGCGGGCUUCGGGUUGUAAACCGCUUUCAGCAGGGACGGAGCUUUUUGUGACGGUACCUGCAGAAGAAGCACCGGCUAACUACGUG
rnacentral:rRNA from 1 species